AGCGUACACGGUGGAUGCCCUGGCAGUCAGAGGCGAUGAAGGACGUGCUAAUCUGCGAUAAGCGUCGGUAAGGUGAUAUGAACCGUUAUAACCGGCGAUUUCCGAAUGGGGAAACCCAGUGUGUUUCGACACACUAUCAUUAACUGAAUCCAUAGGUUAAUGAGGCGAACCGGGGGAACUGAAACAUCUAAGUACCCCGAGGAAAAGAAAUCAACCGAGAUUCCCCCAGUAGCGGCGAGCGAACGGGGAGCAGCCCAGAGCCUGAAUCAGUGUGUGUGUUAGUGGAAGCGUCUGGAAAGGCGCGCGAUACAGGGUGACAGCCCCGUACACAAAAAUGCACAUGCUGUGAGCUCGAUGAGUAGGGCGGGACACGUGGUAUCCUGUCUGAAUAUGGGGGGACCAUCCUCCAAGGCUAAAUACUCCUGACUGACCGAUAGUGAACCAGUACCGUGAGGGAAAGGCGAAAAGAACCCCGGCGAGGGGAGUGAAAAAGAACCUGAAACCGUGUACGUACAAGCAGUGGGAGCACGCUUAGGCGUGUGACUGCGUACCUUUUGUAUAAUGGGUCAGCGACUUAUAUUCUGUAGCAAGGUUAACCGAAUAGGGGAGCCGAAGGGAAACCGAGUCUUAACUGGGCGUUAAGUUGCAGGGUAUAGACCCGAAACCCGGUGAUCUAGCCAUGGGCAGGUUGAAGGUUGGGUAACACUAACUGGAGGACCGAACCGACUAAUGUUGAAAAAUUAGCGGAUGACUUGUGGCUGGGGGUGAAAGGCCAAUCAAACCGGGAGAUAGCUGGUUCUCCCCGAAAGCUAUUUAGGUAGCGCCUCGUGAAUUCAUCUCCGGGGGUAGAGCACUGUUUCGGCAAGGGGGUCAUCCCGACUUACCAACCCGAUGCAAACUGCGAAUACCGGAGAAUGUUAUCACGGGAGACACACGGCGGGUGCUAACGUCCGUCGUGAAGAGGGAAACAACCCAGACCGCCAGCUAAGGUCCCAAAGUCAUGGUUAAGUGGGAAACGAUGUGGGAAGGCCCAGACAGCCAGGAUGUUGGCUUAGAAGCAGCCAUCAUUUAAAGAAAGCGUAAUAGCUCACUGGUCGAGUCGGCCUGCGCGGAAGAUGUAACGGGGCUAAACCAUGCACCGAAGCUGCGGCAGCGACGCUUAUGCGUUGUUGGGUAGGGGAGCGUUCUGUAAGCCUGCGAAGGUGUGCUGUGAGGCAUGCUGGAGGUAUCAGAAGUGCGAAUGCUGACAUAAGUAACGAUAAAGCGGGUGAAAAGCCCGCUCGCCGGAAGACCAAGGGUUCCUGUCCAACGUUAAUCGGGGCAGGGUGAGUCGACCCCUAAGGCGAGGCCGAAAGGCGUAGUCGAUGGGAAACAGGUUAAUAUUCCUGUACUUGGUGUUACUGCGAAGGGGGGACGGAGAAGGCUAUGUUGGCCGGGCGACGGUUGUCCCGGUUUAAGCGUGUAGGCUGGUUUUCCAGGCAAAUCCGGAAAAUCAAGGCUGAGGCGUGAUGACGAGGCACUACGGUGCUGAAGCAACAAAUGCCCUGCUUCCAGGAAAAGCCUCUAAGCAUCAGGUAACAUCAAAUCGUACCCCAAACCGACACAGGUGGUCAGGUAGAGAAUACCAAGGCGCUUGAGAGAACUCGGGUGAAGGAACUAGGCAAAAUGGUGCCGUAACUUCGGGAGAAGGCACGCUGAUAUGUAGGUGAAGUCCCUCGCGGAUGGAGCUGAAAUCAGUCGAAGAUACCAGCUGGCUGCAACUGUUUAUUAAAAACACAGCACUGUGCAAACACGAAAGUGGACGUAUACGGUGUGACGCCUGCCCGGUGCCGGAAGGUUAAUUGAUGGGGUUAGCGCAAGCGAAGCUCUUGAUCGAAGCCCCGGUAAACGGCGGCCGUAACUAUAACGGUCCUAAGGUAGCGAAAUUCCUUGUCGGGUAAGUUCCGACCUGCACGAAUGGCGUAAUGAUGGCCAGGCUGUCUCCACCCGAGACUCAGUGAAAUUGAACUCGCUGUGAAGAUGCAGUGUACCCGCGGCAAGACGGAAAGACCCCGUGAACCUUUACUAUAGCUUGACACUGAACAUUGAGCCUUGAUGUGUAGGAUAGGUGGGAGGCUUAGAAGUGUGGACGCCAGUCUGCAUGGAGCCGACCUUGAAAUACCACCCUUUAAUGUUUGAUGUUCUAACGUGGACCCGUAAUCCGGGUUGCGGACAGUGUCUGGUGGGUAGUUUGACUGGGGCGGUCUCCUCCUAAAGAGUAACGGAGGAGCACGAAGGUUGGCUAAUCCUGGUCGGACAUCAGGAGGUUAGUGCAAUGGCAUAAGCCAGCUUGACUGCGAGCGUGACGGCGCGAGCAGGUGCGAAAGCAGGUCAUAGUGAUCCGGUGGUUCUGAAUGGAAGGGCCAUCGCUCAACGGAUAAAAGGUACUCCGGGGAUAACAGGCUGAUACCGCCCAAGAGUUCAUAUCGACGGCGGUGUUUGGCACCUCGAUGUCGGCUCAUCACAUCCUGGGGCUGAAGUAGGUCCCAAGGGUAUGGCUGUUCGCCAUUUAAAGUGGUACGCGAGCUGGGUUUAGAACGUCGUGAGACAGUUCGGUCCCUAUCUGCCGUGGGCGCUGGAGAACUGAGGGGGGCUGCUCCUAGUACGAGAGGACCGGAGUGGACGCAUCACUGGUGUUCGGGUUGUCAUGCCAAUGGCACUGCCCGGUAGCUAAAUGCGGAAGAGAUAAGUGCUGAAAGCAUCUAAGCACGAAACUUGCCCCGAGAUGAGUUCU
rnacentral:rRNA from 1 species